rfam:Actinoplanes utahensis strain NRRL 12052 contig128, whole genome shotgun sequence.
GGCCGUGGGCGAGGCACUGAACCGUCGGGCGAGUUGGUCGCCCAUGUCCGGCGGGGAGCCAGCGGCGAAACCGACGUCCUUGGUC